rnacentral:rRNA from 1 species
UACGUAGGGUGCGAGCGUUAAUCGGAAUUACUGGGCGUAAAGCGUGCGCAGGCGGUUUGCUAAGACCGAUGUGAAAUCCCCGGGCUUAACCUGGGAACUGCAUUGGUGACUGGCAGGCUAGAGUAUGGCAGAGGGGGGUAGAAUUCCACGUGUAGCAGUGAAAUGCGUAGAGAUGUGGAGGAAUACCGAUGGCGAAGGCAGCCCCCUGGGCCAAUACUGACGCUCAUGCACGAAAGCGUGGGGAGCAACAGG